GUCCCAUUUAUCAAUUCCACGUUUGUCUGUGGUGGUUUUAAAGACUGCGCUCUGCAGAACAGUAUCUCUGGAGACCAGACAGCAGCAACAUCCGGGACAACCUGGACCAAUACAACAAGAUGGGGGGCCCUUCCUGUGCCCCACAAGUGAGUGAAGCUGAACUGCGAAACUGCAGCCAGUGGAUUGCACUGGAGCAUGAUGUUAUGACUGAAACUGAGCAAACAGACACAAACGCUAACAUUUCCUUGACAGCUGACACGUCUGUUUGCUUGGAGAUCUAGAGCAACAGGCUUGUGCCCAUCUACUAAGGCCAGAAUCAGGGUGCAUGAAAGACAACAGGCAGGUGCUGGAACAUGGAGAUUGCAAUACUUGUUCCACUGAAAGACUUCAUCAUGUGACAUUGUAUGACAACAAACAGAUGUCAUUAUAGACCUGACGUGUAA